UACGUAGGUGCGAGCGUUGUCCGGAAUUAUUUGGGCGUAAAGAGCUCGUAGGCGGUCUGUCGCGUCGGAUGUGAAAACCCAGGGCUUAACCCUGGGCCUGCAUUCGAUACGGGCAGACUAGAGUUCGGUAGGGGAGACUGGAAUUCCUGGUGUAGCGGUGAAAUGCGCAGAUAUCAGGAGGAACACCGGUGGCGAAGGCGGGUCUCUAGGCCGACACUGACGCUGAGGAGCGAAAGCGUGGGGAGCGAACAGG
rnacentral:rRNA from 1 species